CCUGGGUGGAGAGAGGCACUGUGAGAGUAAAGUGUCUUGCUCAAGAACACGACACAAUGUCCCCGGCCAGGGUUCUAACCCGGACCGUGCAAUCUCGAGGCGAGUGUGCUAGCUAUUGGGCCAUCGCACCUCCACGAGAAGAAAGAUGACAGCUGCCUUUCUCAUUCAACCACCCCGCUUAACCGUAACGGUGACAAAAUGAUUGCGAAUCGGUUAACUAGCUGUGCAUUGUUUUCAAUUCCAGGUUGUCAGAUAACAAAUGCAUCAUCGAAUAUAUCGAUACAGUUUUAUCUUGAGGCCAGUUAUUUGCAUCAAGAAAACGGAGCUUCUGUUUCGGAACUGACUGGCAUUCCACUGUAGACGGGAACAACGUUAGGGACAAAAAGUGUGUUGGUGUCCCGUCUUGGAUAAAGGCCCACCCGAUUUGAUCUGAAGGCCCAUAUUCGGCCCAUGGACAUUGCGGGAGAGUAAUGCCCUAGUGUUAGCCAAUCAAGGCGCGCGUUAUAUCGGCUACAAACGCUAGUCAUAUAAUGAAGAUUUAACUCCGUGCUUUGAAUACAAAUCAUGCUAGCGUACACUUUGGCAAGUACCACUUCCUUAUUUCGAAACGUGUGUGGAAUAUCAAGUGCUCACAAGAUAACACUGUAUAGUGUCUACAGACAAACGUGUCUUCAAUAUAGUCGGACAUGAUCCGAAGCUGGGGCGGGAAAGUUUUCGACGCGAAAAGAAAGCGUGAAAGUAAACGUAAUCCAUGUGCAAGACAGGAUCGGACCGACAUCCAAAGGUCUAAGUUUAAAAAACAAACUAUACCAGAAAUGUUCUCAACUGAACCUUGUACCUCCUGGAGUUAGAACAUGUAGGUAGUUCUUUUUCUGCAGUUCUAUAAUUCCGUGGAAGUCAUAGAAGUGACCACUGAAAUACUGUAAAGCCUAUUGCAAUUAGGAGAUAUUUCAUGUGGUAUAAUUGCCUGUUACACUGACCAGCAGAAAGAUAAUUCUUUGUUUGAAUUCUGAUUGGAGCACUCUAGUGCGUGACCUCUCAAAUAAAUGUUGUUAAGCAGCACUUUCAUGUGGUGCAGUUUAUUAUACUGUACAAAGUGGUUCGAACUUUUAUGAGUGUGGAUGAAAACCUAAUGUGUGUUUAUAAUUAUGCUGCACAAUGUGGUUCUAAGUCGUAAGUCUGUAAAUGAAUUCCCUGUGAGUGACCAAUCAAAUGAAAGCUACUGAGCAGUAGUUUCAUGUGGUACUGUUUAUUAUGCUGUACAAGGUGGUUCUAACUUUUAAGAGUGUGGAUGAAAACCUAGUUUGUGACCAUUCAAAUGAAAGCUAUUGAGCAGUACUUUCAUGUGGCACUGUUUAUUAUGCUAUUCAAGGUGGUUCUAAACUUAAAGUCUGUGGAUGAAACCCUAGUGUGUGACCAUUCACAAAGAUGCUAUUGAACAUUACUUUCAUUUGGAUACUGUUUAUUAUGCUGUACAAGGUGGUUCUAACUUUUAAGUCUGUGAUUGGUCAAUUUAGCGGGUCGUAAUCUACUGUACGGCCCGCUAAAAUUUAAAGCUGUUUUUGUUACCUAAAUGUUUCGCGGUUUAUCGACAAGUAUUCUUCACUUUUUUAGCAAGUAAGAGAA
rnacentral:lncRNA from 1 species